UACGUAGGGUGCAAGCGUUGUCCGGAAUUAUUGGGCGUAAAGAGCUCGUAGGCGGUUCGUCGCGUCGGCUGUGAAAACCCGGAGCUCAACUCCGGGCCUGCAGUCGAUACGGGCGGACUUGAGUGUUGCAGGGGAGACUGGAAUUCCUGGUGUAGCGGUGAAAUGCGUAGAGAUCGGGAGGAACACCCGGUGGCGAAGGCGGCCAUCUGGACCAGAUGACGCUGAGGCA
rnacentral:rRNA from 1 species